rnacentral:tRNA from 1 species
GUAAAUAUAGCUCAAAAGGACAGAGUAUUAAUUUGUGGCAUUAAUUGUUAAGGGUUCAAAUCCCUUUAUUUACCUA